UACGGGGGGGGCAAGCGUUGUUCGGAAUCAUUGGGCGUAAAGAGCGCGUAGGCGGUCCGGUAAGUCCGCUGUGAAAGUCCAGGGCUCAACCCUGGGAUGCCGGUGGAUACUGUCGGGCUCGAGUCCGGAAGAGGAGUGUGGAAUUCCUGGUGUAGCGGUGAAAUGCGCAGAUAUCAGGAGGAACACCAAUGGCGAAGGCAGCCCCCUGGGUCAAGAUUGACGCCUCAUGCACGAAAGCGUGGGGAGCAAACAGG
rnacentral:rRNA from 1 species